UACGGCCAUAUCACGUUGAAACACCGGUUCCCGUACGAUCACCGAAGUUGGGCAACGUCGAGCCUGAUCUAUAUCUCGAUGAGUGACCGCUUGGGAAUACCAUGUUCUGUAA
rnacentral:rRNA from 1 species